rnacentral:rRNA from 1 species
GGGGUGAGUAGAAUGGGCGCACGGGUGAGUAACACGUAGGUAUCCUGCCCUGAGAACCGGGAUAAGUUGCGAAAAGGGCGGUUAAUACGCGAUAAGAGGUCAUGAGCCAGGUCUCAUGCGGGCCAAAGUUGGCCUCUCGAAGAAGCCGGCGCUUAAGGAGGGGCCCGCGGACCAUUAGGUAGUUGGUGAGGUAACGGCUCACCAAGGCCGAGAUGGUUAGCCGGUCUGAGAGGGUGAUCAGCCACACUGGAACUGAGACACGGUCCAGACUCCUACGGGAGGCAGCAGUGAGGAAUAUUGGGCAAUGGAGGCAAGUCUGACGCAGCAACGCCGCGUGGGUGAAGAAGGCUUUCGGGUCUGUAAAACCCUGUCAGACUGGGAAGAAACCUUUGCUAGUGUAAUAG